rnacentral:rRNA from 1 species
UACAGAGACCUCAAGCGUUAUCCGGAAUCAUUGGGCGUAAAGCGUACCGAUAUGUGGUUUUACAAGUCAGAAGUGAAAUCUCUCAGCUUAACUGGGAGACUGUCUUUUGAAACUGUAAAACUUGAAGGGCAAAGAGGAAGCUGGAACAAACGGUGUAGUAGUGAAAUGCGUUGAUAUCGUUUGGAACACCAAUAGCGUAGGCAGGCUUCUGGGUGCCACUUGACACUGCUAGGACGAAAGCGUGGGGAGCGAUAAGG